GCAGUCGAGCGAACAGAUAAGGAGCUUGCUCCUUUGACGUUAGCGGCGGACGGGUGAGUAACACGUGGGUAACCUACCUAUAAGACUGGAAUAACUCCGGGAAACCGGGGCUAAUGCCGGAUAACAUUUAGAACCGCAUGGUUCUAAAGUGAAAGAUGGUUUUGCUAUCACUUAUAGAUGGACCCGCGCCGUAUUAGCUAGUUGGUAAGGUAAUGGCUUACCAAGGCAACGAUACGUAGCCGACCUGAGAGGGUGAUCGGCCACACUGGAACUGAGACACGGUCCAGACUCCUACGGGAGGCAGCAGUAGGGAAUCUUCCGCAAUGGGCGAAAGCCUGACGGAGCAACGCCGCGUGAGUGAUGAAGGGUUUCGGCUCGUAAAACUCUGUUAUUAGGGAAGAACAAACGUGUAAGUAACUGUGCACGUCUUGACGGUACCUAAUCAGAAAGCCACGGCUAACUACGUGCCAGCAGCCGCGGUAAUACGUAGGUGGCAAGCGUUAUCCGGAAUUAUUGGGCGUAAAGCGCGCGUAGGCGGUUUCUUAAGUCUGAUGUGAAAGCCCACGGCUCAACCGUGGAGGGUCAUUGGAAACUGGGAGACUUGAGUGCAGAAGAGGAAAGUGGAAUUCCAUGUGUAGCGGUGAAAUGCGCAGAGAUAUGGAGGAACACCAGUGGCGAAGGCGACUUUCUGGUCUGUAACUGACGCUGAUGUGCGAAAGCGUGGGGAUCAAACAGGAUUAGAUACCCUGGUAGUCCACGCCGUAAACGAUGAGUGCUAAGUGUUAGGGGGUUUCCGCCCCUUAGUGCUGCAGCUAACGCAUUAAGCACUCCGCCUGGGGAGUACGACCGCAAGGUUGAAACUCAAAGGAAUUGACGGGGACCCGCACAAGCGGUGGAGCAUGUGGUUUAAUUCGAA
rnacentral:rRNA from 1 species